rnacentral:tRNA from 1 species
GGACACCCUGGCCCGGGUGAGGCGGCGGGCGUCCGGGGAGGGCGCGGAAGAAGCGGUGCUGAUCGCGUCCUCCGGUGUGGUGCUGGAGGCGGCCAC